rnacentral:lncRNA from 1 species
UGGUUUCCUGACGACAUAAAUUUUUAUUCCAAAAAUAUUUUUAUCAAUCCCCAUCUAUUCCUAACAAAAGUCUACCAUUAUCAUCCCACACAUAUAUGCCCGUUAUCAAACAUUCUCUCUUGUUUUGAGCGUUGUUUCUGAUGUAUCGAGAAACUUUUUUCUGCCAUCUUUAGUGCCUCUUGAUUCAAGUUGUUAAAACACAUAUAAUACACUAAGAUAGUAAAACACAUAUAACAAACAAAGGUGGUCAACCUCUGUAUCCAAGAUAGUAAAAAUGUAUUAAUACACCAAGUUCCGUGAAGCAUUUUUUGUACAGGUGAAUACGUAACCACCAUUGUAAGAGACCUCGUAAACAUUUGAUACUCCUACCCCUGCACUUACUCCUACCCCUGCACUUCCCGCAGAUUUAAAACCAAAAGGGUCACAAAUCAUCCUGAUGUUCUGUGCAGACAAAGGUAACAGAAAGAUAUUUCCCAGUCACUGUGUAAACAAAUUUUUCCCUUUUUCACAGAAAUAUAUGAUAACUUGAGCCCUGAGCAUUUUUUCCUCAUCGCCAAGCUUACAGUCUGAUGACAUAAUGCCAUUCUUUGUUUUCUUAACAGCCUUAUUCUAAUAAAUUCACGUUACCGAUUGCUCACUUGUGAGACCAGAAAUAGACUGAGACAAGUAAAAUGUUACAGAAUCCUCCGUUGCUUCUAUUUCCCCCCUCAGAAUCUGUAGAUUUUGUCCACAAAUCUAGUAGUAACCAAUUGAAUCAGAUCGAAAAUCUCCUACUUUCUACUUUGACAAACUCAUAACCAUGGAGAUUAUGAAUUUAAUAAGAGACCCAAUUGUAUCUCCCAAAUCCCACUCAGUGAAGCGAUAUGUUCGGAGUGAACCUAAUCACUCCUUUGAUACCUUAUAACACAAGUUGCUUUGAUGCCAAUUAAGGCCACUCCUCAAAGCUAAGAGAGUUUGUGAAAAACAAACUAAUAAAAACAAAACACAAGUUACUUUACUUCAAUUUUCUUCUCUGCAUUUUUUCUUUGGCUUUUCUCAUUUAAAUACAGAAACUAGAACCAUAAGUUCCAACAGUUACGGAAGCAAAUUACGUAAAGGGAAACAUGGACAUCAUGACUUACUCUCUCCUUGAAAAGAGGACAUGAGCACGAGACCAUAACUAAUACAUGCAAUAAUAAUAAAAUAAAGAUAAUAAUCUGUCAAGCCACGUAAGGUUUGGUUGCCGGUUCGGUACUUGACUAAUUACCAACUCAUCAAUACUACCACCCUCGAAAUGAACCUUGUCCUCAAGGUUCAACAAUGGAGAACAAUGUUGAAGCUGAUUCAUGAUCUGCCAAGUCCCUUUCAUCCACUUGCAACUCUUUUUCUUUCAUGUGUGUUUCAUGGAGAAGAUGUUGUCCACCACGCUCAUGAACAAGACGUUGAAAGGAAGACUUCCGGAUUACCAGCCCCUUACACUUCUGAAAGGUAAGGAUCUCAUGGAUAGAAGCUGUUCUGGAACAUAAACGAUAAGGCUUAUCGUCUCCUCCAAUGCUCUUCUCAAUUCUCCUCGUCAUCUCAAGAACAAUAACGACUCCGAGAUAGUAACGUUGAGGAUUCUUGACCAGUCCGGUUGUAGGCUUCGUAGUCUUCAUGAUACUUUGAUUCUUGAGAGCUUUUUGACUCUUUGAUUUUGUCUUCUCAAAGUUGUGAUCACGUUGACAUGUGUUUAAUUCUUCUCGUAAACUUCUAAAUCCUUCUUUUAGCCGAUUGAUGGAGGCAAUAAGGUGUUGGAAUUGAUCUCCCAUAUCUAACCACAUCUUGGUUAUCUCCUCUUUUAGAUCCAACGUCAUCUUGGCCAUCUCCUUGGUUAGACACAGCUUCAUAUUGGUUAUCUCUUCUUCAAGAUUCCCAAGGUUUUCCCGCACAUAAUUUUUUUUUUUUGUGGAAUGUGUUUUGACUUGAUACCACAGUUAAGUGGUCCAGAUCAAAUCGGUGCAAGUGUAGUCACAGGAUAUAAGUGAUAUGAUACCAAUUGUUAGGAGUGAACCUAAUCACUCCUUUGAUAUCUUAGAACACAAGUUGCUUUGAUGCCAAUUAAAGCCACUCCUCGAAGCUAAGUAAGUUUGUGUUAAACAAACUAAUAAAACAAAACACAAGUUACUUCAAUUUUCUUCUCUGCCUUUUUCUUUUGGCUUUUCUCAUUUAAAUAAAGAAACUAGAACCAUAAGUUCCAACAUUUACGGAAGCAAAUUACGUAAAGGGAAACAUGGACAUCAUGACUUACUCUCUCCUUGAAAAGAGGACAUCCUUGAAAAGAAGACAUGAGUACGAAACCAUAACUAAUACAUGCAACAAUAAUAAAAUAAAGAUAAUAAUAUGUCUAGCCACGUAAGGUUUGGUUGCCGGUUCGGUACUUGACUAAUUACCAACUCAUCACGAUCACACAUCUCUGUAGAGAUCGUACCUCCUCAAAUUCAUAAGUCCUCUUCCAAUCGAAUCUUCGCAUCCUCAUCAAACUCAACACCUCAUCGUCACCAUCUAAACAUUUCAACUCUUGUAGAGAAGAACCCCACGCACA